GAUGAACGCUGGCGGCGUGCUUAACACAUGCAAGUCGAACGGAAAGGCCCUGCUUUUGUGGGGUGCUCGAGUGGCGAACGGGUGAGUAUCACGCGAGUAACCUGCCCUUGACUUUCGGAUAACUUUACGGAACUGGGGCUCAUAUCGCAUAUGAGCUCCUGCUGCAUGGUGUGGGUUGGUAAAUUUCGGCGGUUGUGGAUGGACUCGCGGCUUACCAGCUUGUUGGUGGGGUAGUGGAUUUCCAAGGCUUUGACGGGUAGCCGGCCUGAGAGGGUGACCGGCCACAUGGGGACUGAGAUACGGACCAGACUCGAACGGGAGGCAGCGGUGGGGAAUAUUGCACAGUGGGCGGACGCCUGAUGCAACAGCGCCGCGAGCGGGAAGACGGCCUUCGAGUUAUAAACCACUUUCUCCGUUGAUAAAGCGGGAUUGACGGUAAUGGGUCAAGAAGCAACGGCUAACUACGUG
rnacentral:rRNA from 1 species